rnacentral:rRNA from 1 species
AACGAACGCUGGCGGCAGGCUUAACACAUGCAAGUCGAGCGCCCCGCAAGGGGAGCGGCAGACGGGUGAGUAACGCGUGGGAAUCUACCGUGACCUACGGAAUAGCUCCGGGAAACUGGAAUUAAUCCCGUAUACGCCCUACGGGGGAAAGAUUUAUCGGGGUAUGAUGAGCCCGCGUUGGAUUAGCUAGUUGGUGGGGUAAAGGCCUACCAAGGCGACGAUCCAUAGCUGGUCUGAGAGGAUGAUCAGCCACAUUGGAACUGAGACACGGCCCAAACUCCUACGGGAGGCAGCAGUGGGGAAUAUUGGACAAUGGGCGCAAGCCUGAUCCAGCCAUGCCGCGUGAGUGAUGAAGGUCUUAGGAUUGUAAAGCUCUUUCACCGGUGAAGAUAAUGACGGUAACCGGAGGAGAAGCCCCGGCUAACUUCGUGCCAGCCGCCGCAGUAA